UUUAUUGUGGAUCAGCAUGCUGCUGAUGAGAAAUACAAUUUUGAGCGACUGUGUCAAUCAACAAUCUUGAACCAACAGCCUUUGCUGCGGUCAUUGAGGAUGGAGUUAUCUCCAGAGGAAGAAAUAAUUGCUUCAAUGAACAUGGAUGUAAUCAGGAAGAAUGGAUUUACUUUGGAAGAGGAUCCACAUGCAUCUCCUGGGCACCGAUUUAAACUAAAAGCUGUUCCCUUUAGUAAGAAUGUAACUUUUGGAGUUGAAGAUGUGAAGGACUUAAUCUCUACUCUUGCUGAUAGUCAAGGGGACUGCUCAAUAAUUGGUAGUUACAAAAUGGAUACCCCUGAUUCUGUCUGCCCAUCAAGAGUCCGUGCAAUGCUGGCAUCACGCGCAUGCAGAUCAUCUGUUAUGAUUGGAGAUCCACUAGGAAGGAAUGAAAUGCAGAAGAUACUUGAACAUUUGGCAGACCUGAGAUCACCUUGGAAUUGUCCACACGGAAGGCCAACUAUGCGCCAUUUGGUAGACAUGAUGACCAUCUACAAAACAUCAGAUGAAAAUGAUGCAAGCUUGUGAUGGACCUUGAAAUGGCAGAUGAUCACCGUCAAUUCUCUUAACUUACUGUAUAGGUAUUUGUAAAUCACGCAACACCAACCUCCAACAGUCAUGGGAACUCUGGGAUCUGCUGUGGAUUGUUUAUAUCAAUUUUUUGUCUGUAAAUUAACCCUAAAAUCUGGGAAGCUGCACUAUGAUACCAUUCAUCUUGCACUAAUGUAACUGUCACGAUAUAUUAUUAUUGCCAGGAAAGGUGAUAACCUCACCUCUUCAAAUGUUGAUUUGGAAACUCAUGGGGAUAGAAAAG
rnacentral:misc_RNA from 1 species